ACGGGAGGCAGCAGUGGGGAAUAUUGGGCAAUGGGCGCAAGCCUGACCCAGCAAUGCCGCGUGAAGGAUGAAGGUCUUCGGAUUGUAAACUUCUUUGAUUGGGGAAGAAUAAAUGACCUACCCAAAGAACAAGCUCCGGCUAACUACGUGCCAGCAGCCGCGGUAAUACGUAGGGAGCAAGCGUUAUCCGGAAUUACUGGGUGUAAAGGGAGUGUAGGCGGGACUGUAAGUCAGAUGUGAAAUAUGCCGGCUCAACUGGCAGACUGCAUUUGAAACUGCGGUUCUUGAGUGAAGUAGAGGUAAGCGGAAUUCCUAGUGUAGCGGUGAAAUGCGUAGAUAUUAGGAGGAACAUCAGUGGCGAAGGCGGCUUACUGGGCUUUAACUGACGCUGAGGCUCGAAAGCGUGGGGAGCAAACAGGAUUAGAUACCCUGGUA
rnacentral:rRNA from 1 species